UACGUAGGGCGCAAGCGUUUGUCCGGAAUUAUUGGGCGUAAAGAGCUCGUAGGCGGCUUGUCACGUCGGGUGUGAAAGCCCGGGGCUUAACCCCGGGUCUGCAUUCGAUACGGGCAGGCUAGAGUGUGGUAGGGGAGAUCGGAAUUCCUGGUGUAGCGGUGAAAUGCGCAGAUAUCAGGAGGAACACCGGUGGCGAAGGCGGAUCUCUGGGCCAUUACUGACGCUGAGGAGCGAAAGCGUGGGGAGCGAACAGG
rnacentral:rRNA from 1 species